rnacentral:rRNA from 1 species
GAUGAACGCUGGCGGCGUGCCUAAUACAUGCAAGUCGAGCGAACGGACGAGAAGCUUGCUUCUCUGAUGUUAGCGGCGGACGGGUGAGUAACACGUGGAUAACCUACCUAUAAGACUGGGAUAACUUCGGGAAACCGGAGCUAAUACCGGAUAAUAUUUUGAACCGCAUGGUUCAAAAGUGAAAGACGGUCUUGCUGUCACUUAUAGAUGGAUCCGCGCUGCAUUAGCUAGUUGGUAAGGUAACGGCUUACCAAGGCAACGAUGCAUAGCCGACCUGAGAGGGUGAUCGGCCACACUGGAACUGAGACACGGUCCAGACUCCUACGGGAGGCAGCAGUAGGGAAUCUUCCGCAAUGGGCGAAAGCCUGACGGAGCAACGCCGCGUGAGUGAUGAAGGUCUUCGGAUCGUAAAACUCUGUUAUUAGGGAAGAACAUAUGUGUAAGUAACUGUGCACAUCUUGACGGUACCUAAUCAGAAAGCCACGGCUAACUACGUGCCAGCAGCCGCGGUUAAUACGUAAGUGGCAAGCGUUAUCCGGAAAUAUUGGGCGUAAAGCGCGCGUAGGCGGUUUUUUAGUCUGAUGUGAAAGCCCACGGCUCAACCGUGGAGGGUCAUUGGAAACUGGAAAACUUGAGUGCAGAAGAGGAAAGUGGAAUUCCAUGUGUAGCGGUGAAAUGCGCAGAGAUAUGGAGGAACACCAGUGGCGAAGGCGACUUUCUGGUCUGUAACUGACGCUGAUGCGCGAAAGCGUGGGGAUCAAACAGGAUUAGAUACCCUGGUAGUCCACGCCGUAAACGAUGAGUGCUAAGUGUUAGGGGGUUUCCGCCCCUUAGUGCUGCAGCUAACGCAUUAAGCACUCCGCCUGGGGAGUACGACCGCAAGGUUGAAACUCAAAGGAAUUGACGGGGACCCGCACAAGCGGUGGAGCAUGUGGUUUAAUUCGAAGCAACGCGAAGAACCUUACCAAAUCUUGACAUCCUUUGACAACUCUAGAGAUAGAGCUUUCCCCUUCGGGGGACAAAGUGACAGGUGGUGCAUGGUUGUCGUCAGCUCGUGUCGUGAGAUGUUGGGUUAAGUCCCGCAACGAGCGCAACCCUUAAGCUUAGUUGCCAUCAUUAAGUUGGGCACUCUAAGUUGACUGCCGGUGACAAACCGGAGGAAGGUGGGGAUGACGUCAAAUCAUCAUGUCCCUUAUGAUUUGGGCUACACACGUGCUACAAUGGACAAUACAAAGGGCAGCGAAACCGCGAGGUCAAGCAAAUCCCAUAAAGUUGUUCUCAGUUCGGAUUGUAGUCUGCAACUCGACUACAUGAAGCUGGAAUCGCUAGUAAUCGUAGAUCAGCAUGCUACGGUGAAUACGUUCCCGGGUCU